UUUAAAACUAACGUCCUGACACUAGAUCCUACUUGAUCGAAACAAUUCGAAGGCGAUCGACCUAUGGCAAAAAUUUUCAUCUUUCUGUCUGUCUUGAUUCACCUCUCUGUAAAUAAGUGUGAUUUUCUGUAACAUGGAAAUCAAAUCAAAAUUAAACCAAAAUGAACGUAGAAAUGGCAAAUCUGAUUACGACACCAAAAAUUGUAGAAAUCAGGUUCAGUCCAGAUAAUUUUAGUUCGAUCGAUUUUUCCCAGUUUUUUCGAGGGAGAGGCUCGACGAAGAGAUAGUUCUCAAUAGCCAUAAUCGAUCCACGUGAAAGACGAGCGCGAUGAACAGUUUAAUUGGCUUCGACUUGGUUCAAUUUGAUGGGUCUCGAUGUGGUCAAUAAUUAAACGAUUUUGCAAUUACAAUAAGAUACAACAUUGAUUACAAUCAAAAUGGCAUACAAAUU